rnacentral:rRNA from 1 species
AGAUUGAACGCUGGCGGCAUGCCUUACACAUGCAAGUCGAACGGCAGCACGGGGGCAACCCUGGUGGCGAGUGGCGAACGGGUGAGUAAUGCAUCGGAACGUGCCCAGUAGUGGGGGAUAACUAGUCGAAAGAUUAGCUAAUACCGCAUACGACCUAUGGGUGAAAGCGGGGAUUCGCAAGAACCUCGCGCUAUCGGAGCGGCCGAUGUCUGAUUAGCUAGUUGGCGGGUAAAGCCCACCAAGGCGACGAUCAGUACGCUGGUCUGAGACGGACGACCACGCCACACGUGGGACCUGAGACACGGCCCAGUACUCCGUAGGGAGCA